AAAAAUUAAAAAAAACAUCACACAAGCAAACAAUGCAAUAAAUAAUAUCCAUAUCCAGAUUAAAUGCAUAAAACACGAAUGAGAACACACAAGAAAGAAUCAAACUAUAAUAAGGUAAGAGCUUUUAAAUAACGGUAGUUGUCUCACUAAAACGGG